CCUUUAUCUAACACAUCAGUCUGU
rnacentral:siRNA from 1 species